rnacentral:lncRNA from 1 species
AGGACUGUACUCAACUACUAGUAAUUCAUUAGUUAAAACCGACAUUUUUGUCAAAUUCGCGCAGCAGAUUUAGCCGAGCCCACUUAAUUCCCCUUAUUCAACUUUACUUUUCACAGUAAUAGUGAGGCAUGCAAUUUAAUCCAGCGUUGCAAAAUGGAAAAAUGAUUUCAUACUGGGUAGGAGAGGCAAUAAGGACAAGUAUUACGCAACUAUAACAAUUUAUUGAAUUGUAAUGUUCCUAAACUAUUCUAACACUUCCACUGACUAAAACAAGAAUAAAACAACCAUUUCACAUUAAGCCCAAAUUUAUUUCAUUACACACGGACCCAAUCCUUAAAGAUUCUCGCUCAGCAUUAACCAAAUCAAUCAACUGCCAUGUAACCUAACAGUAGAAACUAGGCCUCAUUUAAUUAUCAUUAUCCCUUAGUAAUUUAAAUCAAUUUAAAUCCAACCCAUGUAGCUAUCUUGAUGGAUUGCAAACUCUUAGCCCAAUGAGUGAACAACUCAAGUCCAUGAGCUGUCAGUUACCAAACCAGACACUCUUUUGAUAAAACGUACAAACGAUUCAAAAAUAUGUAGGAAACAAUUGUCUUGUUGAAUAAUAAGCAGGUUUCAAAUCAUACUUCUACAAAUUACUUUAUACAAAUCAAUCCACCAAGUUUACAGUAAUAAUAGACUAUGAAUCAAUCAAUUACAGGCCCAUGGUUAAACAUUCAUGAAUAAUAUUCAGCUGUAGAGUAACAACAAACUUGAUCCACAUUAUCAAGAUAGCUAGUCUAAUGUCUACAACUGAAAUUUUCAGCAGUGAUCUUCCAGAAAUAUGUCGGCAUUUCCAUGCCUAUUGUCAAUCAGACUUCUAUUUCAGCUUUGAAAUCCACGUACCUAACCAUGUUAAAGGUCAGAUUCAUAAACAACAUGGCUUCACACAUGCGACCUACUGUAUUACCAAACAAGCUCAACUAACAGAUGCCAGAAUAUUGGACAAGAAUGAACAAAAAAUAGUGUACAUAAGCUGAAACAAACAGAUGGCAAAUGUUGUAUUUAACACACACAAGAAACAUAUUUUCAUGGCAUAAGAACACUGGAUGAACAGGGAGUUACAUAUUCAAGAAAAUCUCAAAUGUUGUUGAAUUUAGGUGGAUGAAUCAUAUCACAAAAGCAUAUAUCAUUGACAGAAAGAACUUUCAUUUAUCAUUAAAUCAGAUUUACAAAUACUUAAACAUAGGGUGAAAUGUGUACCUAGUUGCUUAAGAAUCGAUCCAAAAUUGCUAAGUUAAGACAAAUAGUUCAGCAGCCAAGAAAACAACAGUAUUCACCAACCAUAGCUUCAAUAUCAACUCAUAUCUCAGCUCAAGAACCUAGAAAUUCAAAGAAAACUUCUUCCAAACUUUUGUACAGAGAAGGAAAACAGGAAAGCUGGAAGCUGGAUUUUUUCAGAAGAUUUUCAGGUCUGUAUGAUGAUGAAAAAUAUGUGAGAAUGAGUGAAUGCCUAUUAUUUAUAUAGAAUACACAAAGAUAGCAUAAAAAUAGAAUAUUCUACCCUAAUUUCUGAAAUGUGAGAUAGUACAACACCUUUUGACAGCUGUAUGUCCUUUUUCC